UACGGAGGGUGCAAGCGUUAAUCGGAAUUACUGGGCGUAAAGAGCUCGUAGGCGGUUUGUCGCGUCUGCUGUGAAAACCGGAGGCUCAACCUCCGGCCUGCAGUGGGUACGGGCAAACUAGAGUGCGGUAGGGGAGAUUGGAAUUCCUGGUGUAGCGGUGGAAUGCGCAGAUAUCAGGAGGAACACCGAUGGCGAAGGCAGAUCUCUGGGCCGUAACUGACGCUGAGGAGCGAAAGCGUGGGGAGCGAACAGG
rnacentral:rRNA from 1 species